GCCGCUUACCAUGCAGUCGAGCGGUAACAGGGGGUGCUUGCACCCCGCUGACGAGCGGCGGACGGGUGAGUAAUGCAUAGGAAUCUGCCCAGUAGUGGGGGAUAGCCCGGGGAAACCCGGAUUAAUACCGCAUACGCCCUUUGGGGGAAAGCAGGGGAUCUUCGGACCUUGCGCUAUUGGAUGAGCCUAUGUCGGAUUAGCUAGUUGGUGGGGUAAAGGCCUACCAAGGCGACGAUCCGUAGCUGGUCUGAGAGGAUGAUCAGCCACAUCGGGACUGAGACACGGCCCGAACUCCUACGGGAGGCAGCAGUGGGGAAUAUUGGACAAUGGGGGCAACCCUGAUCCAGCCAUGCCGCGUGUGUGAAGAAGGCUUUCGGGUUGUAAAGCACUUUCAGUGAGGAGGAAAACCUUCUGGUUAAUACCCAUGAGGCUUGACGUUACUCACAGAAGAAGCACCGGCUAACUCCGUGCCAGCAGCCGCGGUAAUACGGAGGGUGCAAGCGUUAAUCGGAAUUACUGGGCGUAAAGCGCGCGUAGGUGGUUUGAUAAGCGAGAUGUGAAAGCCCCGGGCUUAACCUGGGAACGGCAUUUCGAACUGUCAGGCUAGAGU
rnacentral:rRNA from 1 species